rnacentral:rRNA from 1 species
GACGAACGCUGGCGGCGUGCCUAAUACAUGCAAGUAGAACGCUGAAGGAGGAGCUUGCUCUUCUGGAUGAGUUGCGAACGGGUGAGUAACGCGUAGGUAACCUGCCUGGUAGCGGGGGAUAACUAUUGGAAACGAUAGCUAAUACCGCAUAAUAGUAGAUGUUGCAUGACAUUUGCUUAAAAGGUGCAAUUGCAUCACUACCAGAUGGACCUGCGUUGUAUUAGCUAGUUGGUGAGGUAACGGCUCACCAAGGCAACGAUACAUAGCCGACCUGAGAGGGUGAUCGGCCACACUGGGACUGAGACACGGCCCAGACUCCUACGGGAGGCAGCAGUAGGGAAUCUUCGGCAAUGGACGGAAGUCUGACCGAGCAACGCCGCGUGAGUGAAGAAGGUUUUCGGAUCGUAAAGCUCUGUUGUAAGAGAAGAACGAGUGUGAGAGUGGAAAGUUCACACUGUGAC